rnacentral:rRNA from 11 species
GCAUUCUCCCCAACUGCCUUAAAGGCACCAGAUCCUCUUUGAUCUUGGAAGCUAAACAGGGUCAGCCCUAGUUAUCAUUUGGAUGAGAGACCAACAAGAAAUACCGCCUGCUGUAGGCU